GGUUAAGUGACUAAGCGUACACGGUGGAUGCCUUGGCAGUCAGAGGCGAUGAAGGACGUGCUAACCUGCGAUAAGCCAUGAGAAGACGGUAAGAGUCACUAUACUCAUGGAUCUCCGAAUGGGGAAACCCACUUACACAAGUAAGUAUCGUCACGUGAAUACAUAGCGUGGCGAGGCGAACUCGGGGAACUGAAACAUCUAAGUACCCGAAGGAAAAGAAAUCAACUGAGAUUCCGGCAGUAGCGGCGAGCGACCCCGGAUUAGCCCUUAAGCUUUUUAUGCGUCAGUGGAAUCUUCUGGAAAGGAGAGCGAUACAGGGUGACAGCCCCGUACACGACGGCGUAUUUAAGGUGAAAUCGAGUAGGACGGGACACGUGAUAUCCUGUCUGAACAUGGGGGGACCAUCCUCCAAGGCUAAAUACUCCUGACUGACCGAUAGUGAACCAGUACCGUGAGGGAAAGGCGAAAAGAACCCCUGUGAGGGGAGUGAAACAGAACCUGAAACCGUGUACGUACAAGCAGUGGGAGCCUCCUUGUGGGGUGACUGCGUACCUUUUGUAUAAUGGGUCAGCGACUUACGUUAUGUAGCAAGGUUAACCGCAUAGGGGAGCCGUAGGGAAACCGAGUCUUAACUGGGCGCACAGUUGCAUGACGUAGACCCGAAACCGA
rnacentral:ncRNA from 1 species